UAAACGUUAAUAUAUCUGUGAUUGAUUCCGAAACCAUCCUUGAUACGUGACGGAACGAAAGACCUUCAAUCGGAAGCAGCAGAUCGCCAGGAUGGAGAACUGGGGCGUCAGGAUGCCACCGAUGUUAGUGGAGUACUUCGCCACACUACGCCAAGUGGCGGAGGAGUACCAGUCUGCAAUACGAAAGCAGCAGGUCGCCAGGAAUUACCUGGCCUUCAACUCACCUCCCAUGUUCAUGAAGGACUACACCACGCCACGGCAACUGGAGGAGGAGUCCGGGUACAAGGAGGAGUCUGUGGUCGGGGCUAAUACCAUCUCCCACCCUCCCUCCCCUAUUAUGGAUCUAGUUCAGCAAGCAGAGUCAGCAGAGAACGAAAGUCAGCCUCCCUGCUCGUCUGAGGACGCCGCUCAGCAUUUCAGCUCAGCUGAGGAUUCCGCUCAGUCACUCGGGUUGGCUGAAGAUGUUGCUCCGUUUCCUGACAUGCCCAAGUACUUCCCUCUGUUCAACAACCCCGCACUCGAUGCCGCUCUGCUCUCAUGUUCAGCUGAGGUCGUCGCUCUGCCUUCAUGUUCAGCUGAGGACGUCGCUCUGCCUUCAUGUUCAGCUGAGGACGUCGCUCUGCCUUCAUGUUCAGCUGAGGUCGUCGCUCUGCCUUCCUGCACCGCUGAGUACGCCGCUCUGUUUGCCUGCACCGCUGAGGACGCCGCUCUGUUUGCCUGCACCGCUGAGGACGCCGCUCUGUUUGCCUGCACCGCUGAGGACGCCGCUCCGUUUGCCUGCACCGCUGAGGACACCGCUCCGCCUGCCUGCUCGGCUGAGGACGUCGCUCCGCCUACCUGCUCGGCUGAGGACGUCGCUCUGCUGAGGUCGUCGCUCUGCCAUUCUCUGCCAUGUCGCUCUGCCUCCAUGUUCCGCUGAAGACGUUGUUCCUCUUCUUUGCUGCGUGCCAUAUGUCACUCUCCCAUCCUGCUCCACGGAGGACAUCGUUCCCCCCUCAUGCUCCACGGAGAGCAUCGUUCCUCCCUUUGGCCUCACGGACAACUUCGCUCCGCUCCCUGGCCUCGUGGAGAACCUCACUCCCCUCUAUGGCCUUGCGGAAAUCUUUGAGCUUCCCUUGGACUUCGUGGAGAACAUUGCUCCCCUCUCCUGUCCUGCUGAGGAAGCUAUCCUGCUGCCCUGUCCUGCUGAGGAAGUUAUCCUGCUCUCCUGUCCUGCAGAGGAAGUUGUCCCGCUGUUCUGCCACGCAGAUGUCGCUCCACUUACCUGUUCUGCCGAGGACGUCGCUCCGCUUUCCUGCUCCGCCGAGGACAUCCCUCUGCUUUCCUGCACUGCUGAGUAUGUCCUUCUGCCUCUCUGCUCCGUUGUGGACGCCGCUCAGCCUCCUAGUUUUGCUGGGGACAUUUUGCCCAGGGGGCCGGGACCACCAGAUGGAGGGCGUGUAUUUUUAGGCGCUCUGAGAGAAGCGCCCUUGGGGGGGGUUCUGUCAUAUAUCAGGAAACUCUGGACUCCAGUUCCCAUCAGCCACUGCACUACAUGUCACAUGACCACCUGCACCUGAUUCACGUUUUGGUAAUGAGCACACUUGUGUGUAUACAUCGCCAUGGUUUGCUCUGUCUUUCGAUGUCUUAGACUUCUGUCUUUCAUGUCACUGUGUUUUGUUUCUUGCCAUAGUGUUUUGUUUCUUGCCAUAAUGUUUUGCCUAGUUGUCUUAGUGUCUUUGUUUUUUUGAUUAAUUGUUUAAUAAACGUUAAUAUAUCUGUGAUUGCUUCCGAACCCAUCCUUGAUACGUG
ensembl:lncRNA